GCAAGAUACCACGGGCGCACGGCGGAUGCCUUGGCACAGGGAGCCGAUGAAGGACGCGGCAAGCUGCGAUAAUCCCCGGCGAGGAGCACACAUCCUUCGACCCGGGGGUCUCCGAAUGGGCGAACCCAUCCACAGCAGUGUGGAUAUCCCCACCCCGAACGCAUAGGGGCGGGGAGGACAACCCGGGGAACUGAAACAUCUAAGUACCCGGAGGAGAGGAAAUCAAUCUCGAGACUCCCCGAGUAGCGGCGAGCGAAAGGGGACCGAUGGCCAAACCGUCGAGCGGGGAUACCCGGCAGGGGUUCCGCCGGCGGGGUUGCAGGGCCGCGCAUCCGGGGGCUGCCGCCCCCGGGCGCAGGUCCGGCUGGGGAGCGGAACGGCAUGGGAGGGCCGGCCGCAGCGGGUGACAGCCCCGUACGCGAACCCAGACCGGACGGCGCGACGCGGUCCCUGAGUAGGGCCGGGCACGUGAAACCCGGUCCGAACCUGGGUGGACCACCAUCCAAGCCUGAGUACUACCCUGUGACCGAUAGCGCACCAGUACCGUGAGGGAAAGGUGAAAAGCACCCCGGGAGGGGAGUGAAACAGUACCUGAAACCGUGCGCCCACGAGCAGUCGGAGCACCUAUAUGGUGUGACGGCGUGCCUUUUGUAGAAUGAGCCAGCGAGUCGCUGGCGCGGGGCGAGGUUAACCGGAAGGGAGCCGUAGCGAAAGCGAGCCUUAACAGGGCGACUUGAGUCCCGCGCCGCGGACGCGAAGCCGGGUGAGCUAUCCGUGGGCAGGCUGAAGCGGGGGUAAGACCCCGUGGAGGGCCGAACGCACGUCGGUUGAAAACGGCGGCGAUGACCUGCGGAUAGGGGUGAAAGGCCAAUCAAACCCGGAGAUAUCUCGUUCUCCCCGAAAUAGCUUUAGGGCUAGCGUCGCGCGUUCACCGCCGGAGGUAGAGCACCGGAUGGACGAGGGGGCUUCGCCGCCUACCGAAUCCAACCGAACUCCGAAUGCCGGCGGCCCAGAGCGCGGCAGUCAGAGCAUGUGGGCUAAGCUGUGUGCUCGAGAGGGAAACAGCCCGGACCGCCCGCUAAGGUCCCCAAGUUCCAGCCGAGUGGCAAAGGAUGUGCGUCCGCCCAGACAACCAGGAUGUUGGCUUAGAAGCAGCCAUGCAUUCAAAGAGUGCGUAACAGCUCACUGGUCGAGUGGACAUGCGCCGACAAUACACGGGGCUAAGCUGGACACCGAAGCGGCGGGAUUUUAAUUCAUUAGAAUCGGUAGGGGAGCUUCCCAUGGGCGGGGAAGCCGCCGGGCGACCGGCGGUGGAGCGCAUGGGAGUGAGAAUGCUGGCAUGAGUAGCGAGAGACGAGAGAGUAACUCGUCCGCCGUGAACCCGAGGUUUCCUGGGCAAGGCUAAUCCUCCCAGGGUCAGUCGGGGGCUAAGGCGAGGCCGGAAGGCGUAGCCGACGCGCAGCAGGCAGACAUUCCUGCACCGCGCACGCGGCGCUACGACCGACGGGGCGACGGAUGGGGGUGGCUCGGCGGGGUUCUGGACGUCCCCGUGAUGGAGCGCGGCCCGCGGACCAGGGAAAUCCGGUCCGCAGAAGGGCGAGGCUCCGGACGAAGCACUUAAGCGAAGCGAGUGAGCCCGAGGUCCCUAGAAAAACCCCUAGGCAGGCGCGUGCGCGCCCGUACCGCAAACCGACACAGGUGGGUGGGUAGAACAUACCGAGGCGAUCGGGUCAACCAUGGUCAAGGAACUCGGCACAAUGGCCCCGUAACUUCGGGAGAAGGGGUGCCCGCGCGUACGUGAACGGACUUGCUCCGGGAGCGGAGGCGGGCCGCAGUGGAGAGGCCCAAGCGACUGUUUACCAAAAACACAGGACUCUGCAGAAGCCGCAAGGCGACGUAUAGGGUCUGACGCCUGCCCGGUGCCGGAAGGUCACGCGGAGGAGUUAGCCGCAAGGCGAAGCCCCGAAGCCAAGCCCCGGUAAACGGCGGCCGUAACNNNNNNNNNNGCAUCGCGCGAAGCCCCGAAGCCAAGCCCCGGUAAACGGCGGCCGUAACUAUAACGGUCCUAAGGUAGCGAAAUUCCUUGUCGGGUAAGUUCCGACCUGCACGAAAGGCGCAACGACUUGGGCGCUGUCUCGACCAUGGACCCGGUGAAAUUGCACUGGUCGUGAAGAUGCGACUUACCCGCGGAAGGACGGAAAGACCCCGUGAACCUUCACUGCAGCUUGGCAUUGGCCGCUGGUCCCGCGUGUAGAGGAUAGGCAGGAGGCACAGAUCCGGAGGCGCCAGCCCCCGGGGAGCCGCCCUUGGAAUACUGCCCUCGCGCGACCGGCGUCCUAACCCGAGGCCGUCAACCGGCUCGGGGACCGUGCCAGGCGGGCAGUUUGACUGGGGCGGUCGCCUCCUAAAGGGUAACGGAGGCGCGCGAAGGUCCGCUCGGGACGGUCGGCAACCGUCCUUUUGAAUGCAAGAGUACAAGCGGGCUUGACUGCGAGGCCCACGAGCCGAGCAGGUGCGAAAGCAGGCUCUAGUGAUCCGGCGGCCCCGAGUGGGUGGGCCGUCGCUCAACGGAUAAAAGGUACUCCGGGGAUAACAGGCUGAUCUUGCCCAAGAGUCCACAUCGACGGCAAGGUUUGGCACCUCGAUGUCGGCUCAUCGCAUCCUGGGGCUGGAGCAGGUCCCAAGGGUACGGCUGUUCGCCGUUUAAAGCGGUACGCGAGCUGGGUUCAGAACGUCGUGAGACAGUUCGGUCCCUAUCCUCCGUGGGCGCAGGAGAAUCGAUGGAGGCUGCCCCCAGUACGAGAGGACCGGGGUGGACGCACCUCCGGUGAACCGGUUGUCGACCAACGGCACGGCCGGGUAGCCGCGUGCGGCGCGGAUAACCGCUGAAGGCAUCUAAGCGGGAAGCCGUUCCAGGGAUUAGUUCUCCUUCCGGUAAGGGCCCAGGUAGACUACCUGGUCGAUAGACGGCAGGUGCAAGGCUGGCGACAGCCUCAGCCGAGCCGCACUAAUCGCCCGAGCUCUUCC
rnacentral:rRNA from 1 species